rnacentral:lncRNA from 1 species
CAUGGCAUCAAUUCCUGACUCCUAAAGGUUUGCAAGGGUCAGUGGUUAGCAGCUCUAUUCAUUCCUCUACCAGAAGACACAUCAUGGAUGCCAUCAGAAACGCCACCCGGGCACUGCUCGCUGCACUCAGGCUUUGAAAGCCUUGCAGCCAAACCCACAGUGGCAUGCUGGUGAAGAGACUCAGUGAGCCCGUAACUGCACAGAAGCACCAAGGACAUCCUUCAGCAGCCCCCACAAAGCAAGAGCUCGCUAUCAAGUCACUAACGUGCAUCAGCAUAUUGUCCGCCAAGGGGAGUGUCCAAGGGGCUCUUCCAUGGCCCUUCUGUCUGUGGAUUUAAAGAAAGAAAGAACCUUCUAAUUAAAUACAUCUACUCUCACUUCAAAAACCCACCCCCAUUACUGGGAGGUUCAGCACCGGUUCUCCUGAGGAUAUGGGAGCAAUUUACACCAGCCAACAAACCCUCUCCUGUGCUCUGUUCUGUCCUUUGCAGAGCAGAGGUAACCACAUCCACCUGAACAGAGGCGGGGAAGCUUAAUUAACUAAUAGUUACACAAUGCUUUCACAGGGAAAUCUUGUGUUUACAGCUUCGUUUUGUAAUAAACAGUGUCAGUGUCUCCAGAACUUUAACACCCAAUCUGUGUAGGGGACAUUUUACAAAGCUCAGCACCAAAAUCCCUGUUAUUAAGCAACCUAUUAUUCCUAUGUAAGUAUGCUCCUGCAGAAGCCCCGACAUGCCCCAGAAGAAGCAGGCAGUAGGCAAAAGUUUGACUUGCUCAUGACUCAGUGACAUGAAGUCAUCCUGC